rnacentral:misc_RNA from 1 species
UUGAAUAAACAUUUGAUAGGCUGUUGCUGGCCCAUGUAAGGGUAGUGUGCACGCUUGUCAUUUAUUUGUUUAUUUUUCCACCUGUGCACCUUUUUGUAGACCUUAGAAUUUGGGGACUGCUGUGCAAGUGCCCUCUCUCUAGGUUCUAUGUUUCUCACAUACUCCUACGAAUGUAAUAGAAUGUUGAUCUGGGUCUUUGAUGCCCAUAAAGUUAUAUAUA